GGCGUCAGAUCGGGAGAACCGGGAAACCGGUGCCGAAGGAGCAACCGCCCCGGAAACUCUCAGGCCCAAGGACCGGUCGGACAUG
rnacentral:ncRNA from 2 species